GUCCAGACUCCUACGGGAGGCAGCAGUGGGGAAUAUUGCACAAUGGGCGAAAGCCUGAUGCAGCUAUACCGCGUGUAUGAAGAAGGCCUUAGGGUUGUAAAGUACUUUCGUUGGGGAGGAAAAAUAAAUAGAUAAUACCUGUUUAUCGUGACGUUACCCAAAAAAGAAGCACCGGCUAACUCCGUGCCAGCAGCCGCGGUAAUACGGAGGGUGCAAGCGUUAAUCAGAAUUACUGGGCGUAAAGAGCUCGUAGGCGGUUUUUUAAGUCAGAUGUGAAAUCCCUGGGCUUAACCUAGGAACUGCAUUUGAAACUAAAAGACUAGAGUAUCGUAGAGGGAGGUAGAAUUCUAGGUGUAGCGGUGAAAUGCGUAGAUAUCUGGAGGAAUACCUGUGGCGAAAGCGGCCUCCUAAAUGAAUACUGACGCUGAGGUGCGAAAGCAUGGGGAGCAAACAGGAUUAGAUACCCUGGUAGUCCAUGCCGUAAACGAUGUCGACUUGGAGGUUGUUUCCUUGAGAAGUGACUUCCGAAGCUAACGCGUUAAGUCGACCGCCUGGGGAGUACGGUCGCAAGGCUAAAACUCAAAUGAAUUGACGGGGGCCCGCACAAGCGGUGGAGCAUGUGGUUUAAUUCGAUGCAACGCGAAAAACCUUACCUGGUCUUGACAUCCACAGAAUUUUUCAGAGAUGAAAAAGUGCCUUAGGGAACUGUGAGACAGGUGCUGCAUGGCUGUCGUCAGCUCGUGUUGUGAAAUGUUGGGUUAAGUCCCGCAACGAGCGCAACCCUUAUCCUCUGUUGCCAUUGGUUCGGCCAGGAACUCAGAGGAGACUGCCGGUUAUAAACCGGAGGAAGGCGGGGACGACGUCAAGUCAUCAUGGCCCUUACGACCAGGGCUACACACGUGCUACAAUGGUGUAUACAAAGAGAAGCAACUCUGUAAAGACAAGCAAACCUCAUAAAGUACAUCGUAGUCCGGACUGGAGUCUGCAACUCGACUCCCGA
rnacentral:rRNA from 2 species